UCUGUCAAGAGUAUAAGAUGAAAGCAGGAUUUGUUAGGUUGUCCUCUGAGAAGAAAAGGUGAAAACAAUCUGAAGCUAAAACACAUGUAAAAGGAUAUGUUUGUUCUUUUACUUGAAAAGAUUCAUUCCAGUCAAAAGAACUGUACAUGCAUUGCUGUUUUCUGCAUUAAUGGACGUCAUUUGAAGAUGUAUAUGACGGCUUCCGGGUAUUGCUUCAUGAAAAACACAUACUGAUGACUGAUCAAUGACAUAACCAUUGUGCAUAAAGCCUCCUAUACUGAGUGUUUUAGCUAGGAUUUCCAGCAAGGGAGCCAAUCCUGAAAAGGUCUCUUAAGUGUGCUAAUAAUAAUUCAAAAAGGACAUAUGUC